AUUGAACGCUGGCGGCAGGCCUAACACAUGCAAGUCGAACGAGUGGCGGACGGGUGAGUAAUGUCUGGGCAACUGCCUGCUGGAGGGGGAUAACUACUGGAAACGGUAGCUAAUACCGCAUACCAUCGGAUGUGCCCAGAUGGGAUUAGCUAGUAGGUGGGGUAAAGGCUCACCUAGGCGACGAUCCCUAGCUGGUCUGAGAGGAUGACGAGCAACAAGGGAACUGAGACAGGGUCCAGACUCCUACGGGAGGAAGCAGUGGGGAAGAUUGCAAAAUGGGCGAAAGCCUGAUGCAGCCAUGCCGCGUGUAUGAAGAAGGCCUUCGGGUUGUAAAGUACUUUCAGCGGGGAGGCGUUACCCGAAGAAGAAGCACCGGCUAACUCCGUGCCAGCAGCCGCGGUAAUAC
rnacentral:rRNA from 1 species